GAUGAACGCUGGCGGCGUGCUUAACACAUGCAAGUCGAACGAAGCACUUUAUUUGAUUUCCUUCGGGACUGAUUAUUUUGUGACUGAGUGGCGGACGGGUGAGUAACGCGUGGGUAACCUGCCUUGUACAGGGGGAUAACAGUUGGAAACGGCUGCUAAUACCGCAUAAGCGCACAGCAUCGCAUGAUGCAGUGUGAAAAACUCCGGUGGUAUAAGAUGGACCCGCGUUGGAUUAGCUAGUUGGUGAGGUAACGGCCCACCAAGGCGACGAUCCAUAGCCGACCCGAGAGGGUGACCGGCCACAUUGGGACUGAGACACGGCCCAAACUCCUACGGGAGGCAGCAGUGGGGAAUAUUGCACAAUGGGCGAAAGCCUGAUGCAGCGACGCCGCGUGAGCGAAGAAGUAUUUCGGUAUGUAAAGCUCUAUCAGCAGGGAAGAUAAUGACGGGACCUGACUAAGAAGCACCGGCUAAAUACGU
rnacentral:rRNA from 1 species